rnacentral:rRNA from 1 species
UACGGAGGGGGCUAGCGUUGUUCGGAAUUACUGGGCGUAAAGCGCGCGUAGGCGGACCUGCAAGUCGGGGGUGAAAGCCCGAGGCUCAACCUCGGAACUGCCUUCGAUACUGCGGGUCUCGAGUCCGGGAGAGGUGAGUGGAAUUCCUGGUGUAGCGGUGAAAUGCGUAGAGAUCAGGAGGAACACCAGUGGCGAAAGCGGCUCUCUGGGACGGUACUGACGCUGAGACGCGAAAGCGUGGGGAGCGAACAGG